CAAAUAAUAAGCGACGCCCAACAACAGCAGAUAGUGAAUAUUCGCUCCCAGAGAUUGUCUGAUUAUUGUUGGUCCUUUUCUCUCUCUCAUUCAGUUUUUAUUUUUACAUUUACUUAUAGCAGAAUGUGUUU
rnacentral:ribozyme from 14 species